AGAGUUUGAUCCUGGCUCAGAACGAACGCUGGCGGCGUGCUUAACACAUGCAAGUCGAACGCGAAAGGGACUUCGGUCCCGAGUAGAGUGGCGCACGGGUGAGUAACGCGUAAGUAAUCUACCCCUGUAUCUGGAAUAACCCACCGAAAGGUGAGCUAAUACCGGAUACGUUUAUCUUGAUGCGAAUGAUGAUAAAGAAAGGUGGCCUCUUCAUGAAAGCUACCGUACAGGGACGAGCUUGCGUACCAUUAGCUGGUUGGUAGGGUAAUGGCCUACCAAGGCGACGAUGGUUAGCGGGUCUGAGAGGAUGAUCCGCCACACUGGAACUGAAACACGGACCAGACUCCUACGGGAGGCAGCAGUGAGGAAUAUUGCGCAAUGGGGGCAACCCUGACGCGGCGACGCCGCGUGGACGAUGAAGGCCCUUGGGUCGUAAAAUCCUGUCAGAUGGAAAGAAAUGUACAGGUGUUAAUAUCGCCUGUAUUUGACGGUACCAUCAAAGGAAGCACCGGCUAACUCCGUGCCAGCAGCCGCGGUAAUACGGAGGGUGCGAGCGUUGUUCGGAAUUACUGGGCGUAAAGCGCGCGUAGGCGGUUUGCUAAGUCAGACGUGAA
rnacentral:rRNA from 1 species